rnacentral:rRNA from 1 species
GACGAACGCUGGCGGCGUUCUUAACACAUGCAAGUCGAACGGAAAGGCCCUUCGGGGUACUCGAGUGGCGAACGGGUGAGUAACACGUGGGUGAUCUGCCCUGCACUUUGGGAUAAGCCUGGGAAACUGGGUCUAAUACCGAAUAGGACCACGCGCUUCAUGGUGUGUGGUGGAAAGCUUUUGCGGUGUGGGAUGGGCCCGCGGCCUAUCAGCUUGUUGGUGGGGUAAUGGCCUACCAAGGCGACGACGGGUAGCCGGCCUGAGAGGGUGACCGGCCACACUGGGACUGAGAUACGGCCCAGACUCCUACGGGAGGCAGCAGUGGGGAAUAUUGCACAAUGGGCGCAAGCCUGAUGCAGCGACGCCGCGUGAGGGAUGACGGCCUUCGGGUUGUAAACCUCUUUCACCAGGGACGAAGCGUAAGUGACGGUACCUGGAGAAGAAGCACCGGCCAACUACGUG